rnacentral:rRNA from 1 species
CGGACGGGUGAGUAAUGUCUGGGAAACUGCCCGAUGGAGGGGGAUAACUACUGGAAACGGUAGCUAAUACCGCAUAACGUCGCAAGACCAAAGAGGGGGACCUUCGGGCCUCUUGCCAUCGGAUGUGCCCAGAUGGGAUUAGCUAGUAGGUGGGGUAACGGCUCACCUAGGCGACGAUCCCUAGCUGGUCUGAGAGGAUGAUCAGCCACGCUGGGACUGAGACACGGCCCAG